GGCACUUGGUAGAUGGUACUCUGGCUUCAGCUAGAUGGGGGUUCAACUCCCUGCAGUGUC
ensembl:sRNA